rnacentral:rRNA from 1 species
AACGAACGCUGGCGGCAGGCUUAACACAUGCAAGUCGAGCGCCCCGCAAGGGGAGCGGCAGACGGGUGAGUAACACGUGGGAACGUACCCUUUACUACGGAAUAGCUCCGGGAAACUGGAAUUAAUACCGUAUGUGCCCUUUGGGGGAAAGAUUUAUCGGUAAAGGAUCGGCCCGCGUUGGAUUAGCUAGUUGGUGGGGUAAAGGCCUACCAAGGCGACGAUCCAUAGCUGGUCUGAGAGGAUGAUCAGCCACAUUGGGACUGAGACACGGCCCAAACUCCUACGGGAGGCAGCAGUGGGGGAUAUUGGACAAUGGGCGCAAGCCUGAUCCAGCCAUGCCGCGUGAGUGAUGAAGGCCCUAGGGUUGUAAAGCUCUUUCACCGGUGAAGAUAAUGACGGUAACCGGAGAAGAAGCCCCGGCUAACUUCGUGCCAGCCGCCGCCGUAA